rnacentral:misc_RNA from 1 species
UCUCCGUUGGUGAACCAGCGGAGGGAUCAUUACCGAGUUAUCAACUCCCAAACCCCUGUGAACAUACCCAACGUUUCUUCGGCGGGACCGCCCCGGCGCCCUCGGCGUCCCGGAACCAGUCGCCCGCCGGAGGACCCAAACUCUUGUUUAAACCAUAGUGGCAUAUUCUUAGUCUCACAAGAAAACUGAAUCAAAACUUUCAACAACGGAUCUCUUGGCUCUG